rnacentral:rRNA from 1 species
UACGGGGGGGGCAAGCGUUGUUCGGAAUUACUGGGCGUAAAGGGCUCGUAGGCGGCCAACUAAGUCAGACGUGAAAUCCCUCGGCUUAACCGGGGAACUGCGUCUGAUACUGGAUGGCUAGAGUUUGGGAGAGGGAUGCGGAAUUCUCGGUGUAGCGGUGAAAUGCGUAGAUAUCGAGAGGAACACCUGCGGCGAAGGCGGGUAGCUGGGCCGACACUGACGCUGAGGCGCGAAAGCCAGGGGAGCGAACGGG